GGGGAUGUAGUCUAGUGGUUAUGAUUUCUGCUUUGCAAGCUCAUUGGAGCUCUGAAUUGCAGAGGGUCCCGUGUUCGAAUCAUGGCGUCUCCA
rnacentral:tRNA from 1 species